AUACGGAGGGUCCGAGCGUUAAUCGGAAUUACUGGGCGUAAAGCGCGCGUAGGUGGUUCAGUCAGUCAGAUGUGAAAGCCCCGGGCUCAACCUGGGAACUGCACCUGAUACUGCUGAGCUAGAGUACGGUAGAGGGCAGUGGAAUUUCCGGUGUAGCGGUGAAAUGCGUAGAGAUCGGAAGGAACACCAGUGGCGAAGGCGACUGCCUGGACUGAUACGGACACUGAGUUGCGAAAGCGUGGGUAGCAAACAGGAUUAGAUCCCCUGGUAGUCCACGCCGUAAACGAUGUCAACUAGCCGUUGGGGGACUUGAUCCUUUAGUGGCGAAGCUAACGCGAUAAGUUGACCGCCUGGGGAGUACGGCCGCAAGGUUAAAACUCAAAUGAAUUGACGGGG
rnacentral:rRNA from 1 species